GAACAGAUUGGCUGCUGAGUCCAAAAGCAGCAGCAGUACAGAUAUUAUUAUACUGUACCUAUAUUUCAGUUUGGCUAAUGCAAUCAUUCAACGCAGCAGCUCAUCAAAAAGACACUCAAGAAGAAGUGUAAACUCUGUGGCUUUUGUCAGCAAGAUCCUAAAGGGAAAAACAUAAGUGAUGAAGAAAAAAAUUCUACAACUUCUAGCAGCCAGCAGAUCAAUGAAAUACAUCAGUACAUCUCAUCUCAUGUCUUAGCAGAUGAUGUUUGGCCUCAUGGAACAUGCAAUUAGUCAAAACUGGAAAGGGCAUCUGUAAACCAACCUUCACCAUGGCCAACACCAAACUGGGUCAUCUCUCACCUGUUUUGUAGAGAAGUCCCCUUCCCUUGCCUCUAUCAGAAUUAGUCAGUUUUGGACUGGGAGAAUCUCUUGGGUUUAUGUCUGCUGGUAUACAGAUACAAAGCAAAGCAUCAAAUACAAAACUGUUUUUUUCUUAGUGUAUGAAAGUUUUGAAGAAAGUACAACCAUCACAUCUUUGAACUGAUAAAGAGCUGCUUCUAAAAACAUCAUUUGCAU